AGCACUGGGGUUUUAUAAGGCAGAAAUGCAAAAAAGAAAGUCUGGGUCCUUUUAGGGGAUUUUUCCACAACAGCCUGUUGAGCAUUUACACAAGGGCGCCCCGCGGACAGCAAGAAGGGGAAGAAAGGGAGAAGAGCGGUGAGGAUGCCUUGCACACGGCAGGGCAUGGGGGCUGGGGGCUGACUCUGCACUCAGAUGGCUUCCCGAAGCUCCUCCCAAGCUGGGGCCAGUCUCUGGGGACCCCGGGAGGAGAGGACCCCAAAGCAGCCAACUGCAUGGAUUUUCUGGACCCAAGGCCCUGCUGAGCUCCCUCCCCCGAUCCCGGCCAGUGGGAGACCUGCUCCACUCUCGGUGGAGGCGCUGUCUUUUCUUGGGAUGUGCAUGCAUGUGUGUGUCCCUCUCCUCCUCCCACACAGUCUCUGUGCCAUGGCGCUUACCAGCUGGGUUUUGCUUGGGGCUUGUAAAAGGCCUUCUGUGGCUCCCUACUCACUGGCUGCCUCCACUCAGAACUAAGGUCCUGAGCAGCCCGCUCCCCCUCCCUGCCUUUGCAACCAGCCAGGGUCUUUCUCCACAUUUGCCCCGGCUCCCAGGCCAUCCCGCCUGCCCCCACCACCACCACCAUCAAUACACACACACAGACAAAGGACCCUUGCAGCCCAGAGUUCCCCACACCUCCCCCAGGCAGCCACGGAGACGCUUUGAACGCUGCUGGAAGCCGAAGAGCCAGGAGAAGGCGUCUGGUUCUCACCAACGCUGAGCCCCUUGGCCAGCCCUAGGAUGUCGCCCUCCUCCCCAGCGUUGUGACCCUGUAAUUAGAACAGAUCGUACGUUGUUAGCCCAGGGCCCAGACGCCCUGGCUUCCGUCUUCAGCCCCAUGAGUGUCUCGUGUGCCACCUCGGACUCGGACAAGUUUCCUGGCCCUGAGAGGGCUUCUGUGUCACAGGGGAAUGGAGCUGCAUGAACACAGCUUCGCCAGCUACCUGCCAACGGUGUGCAACACUGCUCCAAGUUCUAAGCCCAAACCUCCUGUGCCCCCACCUUGUCAAUUACACAUUUCUAAAGGGCCAGCACUGUGGCACAGCAGGUUAAGACACUGGCUACCAUGCCAGCAUCCCACAUCAGAGUGCCAGUUUGAGUCUCACUGGUGUACUUUUGAUCCAGCUCCCUGCUCCCUGCUAACGCUCCUGGGAAGCAGAGGGUGGCCCAAGUGCUUGGACCCCUGUCCCAUGUGGGACACCCGGAUGGAUUCCAGGCUCCUGUUUCCAAUCUGGCUGAGCCCUGGAUGUCACAGGUAUUUGAGGGAGUAAGCCAACAAGUGGAAUCUCGCUCUCGCUCUCUCUGCUGCUCUUUCAAAUAAAUAAAUUUGAAAAGAUAACACAUUUCAGGUCUUGAUGGCUCUCCCACUGCUUUCCUGAUACAAACUGCCUCCUCCACAUGGGCUUGCUCGUUGCUCUUGGCCAACCUAGCCCUGCUCCUGGCUCCUGCCAUCAAUGUCCAGUCCCUAGCUGACUGGGUCUCUCCAAGUCCCACGGCCUCUCCUUCCUAACACAUCCAAGGCCCCUCUCUCAUGGGUGCCUGCCCCCUCCCUCAACUCAGGUAGGGAGCACCCAUGCACUGCUCUGCACCCCAAAUCCAUCACUGUGUCAAGGUGAACUGUGGGUGUGUUAUGAAUGGAUUCAAGACACACCGCCCCAAAAUAUGGCACCUAGUAUAUUGAACCUUUUAAGCUGAAGGCAUUUGAGAAAUAGCAGAUGUAGGAAGGACUCUCUGAGCCCCCCUGGAAGCAGGUCCUGAGCCCCUCCUGUGAGAGGCGCUGACUCUACAUCCAGAGGAAAUGAAUCUCCCUGUCUCUGACAAUGGACGCACCAGAGGAAUCUGCAGGAACAGGACCUGGUUGGGGCCGACGAUGUUAAGUGCCGGUUCGAGUCCCAGCUGCUCCACUUCCAAUCCAGCUUCCUUGCUAUUACACCUGAGAAAGCCGCAGAAGAUGGCCCAAGUGCUUGGACCCCUGCAUCCAUGUGGGACAUCUGAUUAGAGUUCCAAGCUUCUUUCUUCUACCUGGCCCAUCCCCAACCAUGGUGGCCAUUUGGGGAGUGAACCAGCAGAUAGAAGACCUCUCUCUCUUUAUGUAACUCUGCCUUUCAAAUAAAUAAUAAAAAUUUUUUAAAAAGCUCAGAUUUAUGAAAGCUUCAUGAAAGUUCCUGUACCAUGUAAAACUUAGGUUAAAUAAAUGUCUUGCUUUUCUCUAUUAAUCUGCUACAGAGAUGCAGCCAAGAACCUGGAUGGGGAAGAGAAAGAUACUUUUGCGUCCCCUACAGUGGCCUUCAUAGAGCUCCUAUGCUUUACAGGAAUAA